UACAGAGGUCUCAAGCGUUGUUCGGAUUCAUUGGGCGUAAAGGGUGUGUAGGUGGCGCGCUAAGUCGGGUGUGAAAUUUCGGAGCUUAACUCCGAAACUGCAUUCGAUACUGGCGUGCUUGAGGACUGGAGAGGAGACUGGAAUUUACGGUGUAGCAGUGAAAUGCGUAGAUACCGUAAGGAAGACCAGUGGCGAAGGCGGGUCUCUGGACAGUUCCUGACACUGAGACACGAAGGCCAGGGGAGCAAACGGG
rnacentral:rRNA from 1 species